rnacentral:lncRNA from 1 species
GGAUGACAUCUGCUUUGUUCACUGUCAUAUCCUCAGCACCCAGCAUGGAACCUGGCAUGAAGUAGAUGUUCUAAAAAUAUGUAUUUAAUGAAUGUUUAAACCUUCUUCUUUUGGUUAACCCUAUAGAAAUGUCUUUUCAGAAUUUAACAGGAUGCCUCCAACAUUUAUCAAAAGCUGAUAUGCUGAAUAUGAAUUUAAGAAAAAUGAAGAAGGUACAAUUUCAAGAAGGGGCUCUAUAACUGUACCUCCUGUUGGUUCUAAGCUGAACCACCUUCUUCCUUCUUGUCCUCCCUCCCUCCACCCCUUCUCUUCUUCAAUCUUGUUGAAUGGUCAAACGUUACAUACCGUGGCUAAAUUAUUCCUGAGCUCUCACUGAUCUAUAGAAUUCUUUCAGUUGCCUUUUCCCAGUGACUUUGGAGUAGCUGUGGAGAUGGGACUUUAAAUUUCCCUGGCAUCUCCCUCUAUUCACAAUCCAUCAAAUCCCUUCUCUUCAGAUAUGCCAACUGUAGCUCCUGAAGAAACAGAAAUGAC